rnacentral:rRNA from 1 species
GCCGGCAGCUAGCUCUCUGCAACUCUCACAUUGUCGCCCACUGAAGCUAAGCAGGGCUGCGCCUGGUCAGUACCUGGAUGGGAGACCACAUGGGAAAGCUAGGUUGCUGCCGGAA